AUAAGGUCUCUCUGAGAGAAAGAUACAGAAAGUUGAGUCCUGAGAAAAGGAGGAAGAGGAGCAGAAUUUCUCAGAGAACCCUGGUACAGAAGCAGCUGAGUGAAGAUUGGGAGAGAAAAGGUUCUUCUUCCCACCCUGCUUGUGACAUGCAUUAAUGAGGAAUGUGGAGGUGAUCCAGACCAGCUUCUGCAACAUACCCACAGAAUAGAGAAGCCAUCUUUUGCUGCUUCCAAAUUUCCCUUCUGUCCUUCCUGCCUGCCUUUCUAACUUAGAAACCAUUUAGGAUUAGAGUUGUUGAAAAUAAAAAACUAAUAGAUUUCAGAUUAUUAACAAUAGGACUUUUAAAUGGAAUUCUCAUGAUGAAUACUGAACAUCUUUAGCUGCUAGUGAAUGCACUAAUUAGAACCUUACAAAUUCCAAAAUAUAUUGGCAAGUAUACUAUAGUUCAAUUUUUAAAAAUCUAUUUCGGUUCUUAGGUCAUCAUUUCAUGGUGGUGAGAUCAAGCCCUUAAUCGGACUCUGUGCUGGGCAUGGAGACUGCUUAAGAUUCUCUUUGUAUUUACAUGCUUUGUAA